rnacentral:rRNA from 1 species
AACGAACGCUGGCGGCGUGCUUAACACAUGCAAGUCGAACGCGAAAGGGUUCUUCGGAACCUGAGUAGAGUGGCGCACGGGUGAGUAACGCGUAGAUAACCUGUCUUUGUGUCUGGAAUAAUCAAGCGAAAGUUUGACUAAUACCGGAUACGCUUGUCUUUCAUAAGGUUGACAAGGAAAGGUGGCCUCUGACAUAAGCUACUGCACGAAGAGGGGUCUGCGUAUCAUUAGCUAGUAGGUGGGGUAAAGGCCUACCUAGGCGACGAUGAUUAGCGGGUCUGAGAGGAUGAUCCGCCACACUGGCACUGGAACACGGGCCAGACUCCUACGGGAGGCUG